CAUAGUUUAUACAUUCAAAUGAAUGUAAAAAUAAAAUGAUGGGUGCUAUGGUUUUUGAAUAAUCCCUCACAGUUUAAAAUUAUAAUGGAACUUUCCAGUUGUACGGUUGUAAAGUUUGAAUUCAAAGGAAUUGAGGUCAGUUAAAGCUUGCAAACACAAAGGAAAUGAUUGGUAUUGUAGCAAUUCUGGAGAUAUUAUUUUGUUAAAAAUGUAUGGGUGCAUAUUUUUGAUUUCUCAAAGAAUACAUUAAAAGUCUUAUUAGUGUGGCAAAUAGAAAUGAGAAGUUUUAACUGAAGUGUGAAUGUGUAGAUUAUAACAUUAGACAAGAAGAUAAACAGCAGAAUCAUUCCAAGUCAAAGUUUCAGACACAAAGCAAUGAGGAGCAGCCUGGAGCAACACACUUGUUCUUCAGUGGCUUUACAAAGGACCAAGUGAUGGCAGAACUGAGGCACUAUGCCUCACAUGAGAAAGGUACAACAAGGCUCUUCAGAAUGCUAUUCAAUAUAGGGGAGAUUAAAGGCGGCUCAUUGUUUGGUAUGAGAAAAUGGAACAGAGAGUCUGACGCCAGACCUGCUUGUGCAGACAAGGCAAAACUUAAGUUCUUGAAAGGUAACUAAUGAACUGAAUGAAAAUAUCAUUUUUGAUUCUGCGUAUUUUUUCUGCCUUGGA